rnacentral:rRNA from 1 species
GUCAGCUCGUGUCGGUGAGGAUGUUGGUUGAGUCCCGCAAGCGAGCGCAACCCCUUGUCCUGUGUGCCAGCAAGUAAAAUUGGGGAAUCACAGGAGACUGCCGGGGUCAACUCGGAGGAAGGUGGGGACGACGUCAAGUCGUCAUGCCCCUUACGCCUAGGGCUGCACACAUGCUACAAUGGUCGGUACAGAGGGCUGCUAAGCCGCGAGGUGGAGCCAAUCCCUAAAGCCGAUCUCAGUUCAGAUUGCAGGCUGCAACUCGCCUGCAUGAAGUUGGAGUUGCUAGUAAUCCCGGAUCAGCAUUGCCGGGGUGAAUACGUUCCCGGGCCUUGUACACACCGCCCGUCAAACCACGAAAGUUGGCAACACCCGAAGCCGGUGGCCUAACCGUAAGGAAGGAGCCGUCGAAGGUGGGGUCAGUGAUUGGGGUUAAGUCGUAACAAGGU